rnacentral:rRNA from 1 species
UAGUCCACGCCGUAAACGAUGUAUGCUAGUUGUUGGAGUCUUAAGGCUUCAGUGACGCAGAGAAAUCAUUAAGCAUACCGCCUGGGGAGUACGGCCGCAAGGCUAAAACUCAAAGGAAUUGACGGGGACCCGCACAAGCGGUGGAGCAUGUUGUUUAAUUCGAAGCAACGCGAAGAACCUUACCCACACUUAACUAUCCUCUUGGGACUUUCAGAGAUGAUCGUCUUCGGUUCGCCGGGGAGUGAAUAGGUGCUGCAUGGCUGUCGUCAGCUCGUGUCGUGAGAUGUUAGGUUAAGUCCUGCAACGAGCGCAACCCUUACCCUUAUUUGCCAGCGAUUCGGUCGGGAACUAUAAGGGGACUGCCGGUGAUAAACCGGGAGGAAGGUGAGGACGACGUCAAGUCAUCAUGGGCCCUUACGUAUAGGGGCUACACACGUGCUACAAUGGAGAAUACAGACGGACGCUAAGCCGCGAGGUGGGUGCUAA